UCGGGAAUUUUGGGCAAUGGGCGAAAGCCUGACCCAGCAACGCCGCGUGAAGGAUGAAGUAUUUCGGUAUGUAAACUUCGAAAGAAUAGGAAGAAUAAAUGACGGUACUAUUUAUAAGGUCCGGCUAACUACGUGCCAGCAGCCGCGGUAAUACGUAGGGACCAAGCGUUGUUCGGAUUUACUGGGCGUAAAGGGCGCGUAGGCGGCAAUUCAAGUCAUCUGUGAAAUCUCCGGGCUUAACUCGGAACGGUCAGAUGAUACUGCUUUGCUAGAGUGCAGAAGGGGCAAUCGGAAUUCUUGGUGUAGCGGUGAAAUGCGUAGAUAUCAAGAGGAACACCUGAGGUGAAGACGGGUUGCUGGGCUGACACUGACGCUCAUGCACGAAAAGCGUGGGGAGCAAACAGGAUUAGAUACCCAAGUAGUCCCUGAGCGGGCUGGCAAGGCGCAU
rnacentral:rRNA from 1 species